CGGCGACGCUGCCGUAGCGUCACCUGUUGUCGGUUUCUGGCACUAACGAUGUGGACGUGCGCGCGCGCGAGCGAUCACGGUGUUCACGUAACUACCUACGUCAUGUACAUAUAGUACGGUAAUAAUAAUAAUAAUAAUAAUAUUGUAAAAACUACUGUAGGUAUAUACCUGCGCGACCGACCGGCGACCGGGCCGGCUACCUGUACAUCGCCGUGCCACCUGCGCCUGCCCACACGGUCGGCAGCUUCGUCGACGGCGUAGCGGCGGCGGCGGCGGGGAAGACCGAAAAGCAGAAGAAGAAGCAGAGAGACGGAAAAAGUUAUAACGAAAUAGAAAUCACGAUUGGUGGUGGUGGGUACGAGCAGCGAGCGUACCUACGACCGCGGCGGUUACGACGUCCACCCGGCGGGCACAUACUAUGUGUACAUUAUAAUAUUAUUAUUAGAUACAAGCGUACAUGAGUAGUAAAAUAAUAUAUUAUAAAUUAUAAUACUGGCGAGUUGUCCAUAAUAAUAUGAUGGUGUGUUGUUGUUAAUAUUGUUGUAUUGUAUUGUUGUUGUUGUUGUUGUUAUUAUUUUUUUUUUUUUUUUAAUAACGCAAGUCUCUUCGGUCGCCGCAGCCGACACACGAGUGAGGUGUGACGAUAAAAUUAUUGUAUAUCCCGAGUAACACACUAAUGACACGUAUCUCGGCAGACCGCGGUGUCCUUUGAACGAGCUAUGCCUAAUUCUAAGAAUAUACCUAAAACGGUAGGCUGCAGUUGCAAUACGAAAAAAUAUAUUGUUUAUUCUUUCGAUUUAUUUAAUAUUAUCUUUAUAACCGCGCACACGUCGCUAGAAUUCAAAAUAACAAAUAAAGCAGUAAAUGCGUACAUGUAGGUACUUCGAGUAAAAACAAUUCUAAGUACGAAUAAGAAAAUGAACAAUUGUAGAAGGUUAGGACGUUUCCGCGGGAAGAAAAAUUCGCGUCUCGGUUUACCAACUACACUAUAAUAUUAUAAAUUAAUGCAAAACGUAUUUAAUAUCAAUCAGUGCAAGGGUUGGUAUAAUUGGAAAAAGAUCGAAAAAAUCAUGACUGUCAAAUUUCAAUUAAUGCGAAUUGUUUUACCACGAAAAUACAAAUAUUACAAAUCCGUCUUUUUUCGUUUUAAAUUUUUUUAAUUUCUUUACUAACUAUAGACUCGAGAAACGAAUCUAUUGACACUGAAUUCUUUAUAAGUGCUAUUGAUAAUGAAAAUACAAUAUGGAACACUCAAAAUUCUGAAUAAAGCUUGAGAAAUGCCAAGUCAAAAGAUUGGGAAAAUAUAAGAAAAAUAUUUAACGAACAUUUUGACGAUAAACCAACAGGCAACAGCUGAUUUCUCACCUUUCAAUAACAUUGUGCGAUCCGGGAAGAAGUAACACAAUCAAACACAUUAUUGUUAAUUUAAGCGAUGAAUUAUAUCGUAAAUAUCUUAAUGGAAAUAUUUUGACAGCUAUCAAAAAAAACCUUUAAAAUCUUAAUAACCAGCUGGAUCAGAUUUACACUAUAACACCAUUCAAGCAAUGUGUAUAUCGUUCACUCCCCUUGCGUCUGAUUAUGUUUUUGGUAAACCAGUUAACAACUUGAAGUAUAUUGUGAGUCAACUGUGCUUGUACCUACGAUAUAAUAAUUCUAAUUUAUUUAAUUGGAAUGGUCGCCGGUCGGAUUAUACUUACACAUAGCUACCUACUUAAUCAAAUCUGAACUGAAUUGGUACGCUCAAGGAUCCUGAAUCCUGAUUAAACUAUGGAACUUCAUAUCGGUACGAUACUACGAGAGGAAGAAUAUCGAGGUCCUCAUGACACAAAUGGUGACGAUUUAUGAACUCACAUCUUGAAAACAUCAUAAAGUAAAUUAUAAAUCUUCAAUAGACAACAGUAAAUGCUACAUAACUAUACGAACAAUUUAUUUUGAAAGCGCUAAAUUUUACGCAAAUAAUUAAA